rnacentral:piRNA from 1 species
UGACAGGUUGUUUGCCUGACUCCAAGCUCC